rnacentral:rRNA from 1 species
UACGUAGGGUGCAAGCGUUAAUCGGAAUUACUGGGCGUAAAGCGUGCGCAGGCGGUUAUAUAAGACAGUUGUGAAAUCCCCCGGGGCUACAACCUGGGGAACUGCAUCUGUGACUGUAUAGCUAGAGUACGGGUAGAGGGGGAUGGAAUUCCGCGUGUAGCAGUGAAAUGCGUAGAUAUGCGGAGGAACACCGAUGGCGAAGGCAAUCCCCUGGACCUGUACUGACG